rnacentral:rRNA from 1 species
UACGUAGGGGGCAAGCGUUGUCCGGAUUUAUUGGGCGUAAAGAGCGUGUAGGCGGUUAGGUAGGUCCGUUGUGAAAACUCGAGGCUCAACCUCGAGAUGUCAUCGGAAACCAUUUGGCUAGAGUCCGGAAGAGGAGAGUGGAAUUCCUGGUGUAGCGGUGAAAUGCGCAGAUAUCAGGAAGAACACCAAUGGCGAAAGCAGCUCUCUGGGACGGUACUGACGCUGAGACGCGAAAGCGUGGGGAGCGAACAGG